CACUAGUGGAAAUUGCAAGACCAUCCCCUUCACUGCCAAAACUUUUAAGUGGUGUAGGGAGUACUCUGGAGGGAGUUGCUUUCUAGGUAUGGCCAAGAAAUUCAAUGGGUAGCAGGCUCAAGAAAUUUUGGUAUGGCCAUGCAGUAUAUAUAUAGGUCUGCAAAUUGGAGCAGGUGCUUUAAAGAAUAUAGUGGGGAUACCGACUGACGUCGGAGAAAUAUUAAUAGUCUGAAAGCAAGCAAGCAAGAUAUAUUAAUAGUCUGAAAGCAAUGCUGAUGUUCCGAGAAAAGCUUCCUGCAUUCAAUGUGAAGUCUGAGUUCCUGAGAGCUGUUUCUGAAAAUCAGUAGGUGUUGGUAGUCUCGGGUGAGCAGCAAAGCUAGACUAUUGAUCCAGAUGCAGCUAGAACUACAGAAAGACAUCAAAAAGCUCCUAAAAGGCCUAUUCGUAUUAGUGCUUGGAAGCUUGCAAAGCUAGACUCCAAUGAUGCCAUGAGAGCGGCAAAGCUUGCCAAGCUAGACUCUUUAAGUAAAUUUCUGGAUGUGUAUUGCUAGGAGAGUAGUAUUAGAUGCACUCCUUUUGUGGAUGAAAGAUUACUUUGCACAAUCUACUUGUUGCAUGAUUUGGAUUAUAACAAUUUCUUCUAUAUAUUGAUCAGCUACUCUUACUUUGAU